UUUCCGUAGGUGAACCUGCGGAAGGAUCAUUAAAGAGAAUAUGCCCUUCGGGGUAGAUCUCCCACCCUUUGUUUAUAUUACCUUUGUUGCUUUGGCAGGCCCGUCUUCGGACCACCGGCUUCGGCUGGUCAGUGCUUGCCAGAGGACCCAAAACUCUUAGUAUUAAUGUCGUCUGAGUACUAUAUAAUAGUUAAAACUUUCAACAACGGAUCCCUUGGUUCUG
rnacentral:misc_RNA from 1 species